UACGGGGGGGGUAAGCGUUGUUCGGAAUUACUGGGCGUAAAGGGCUCGUAGGCGGCCAACUAAGUCGGACGUGAAAUCCCUCAGCUUAACUGGGGAACUGCGUCCGAUACUGGAUGGCUUGGAUUCGGGAGAGGAAUGCGGAAUUCCAGGUGUAGCGGUGAAAUGCGUCAGAUAUCUGGAGGAACACCGGUGGCGAAGGCGG
rnacentral:rRNA from 1 species